AAAUUCAACACAGCCAAACCAAUCUAAAACCGCUCGAUCGCCAAUCUCAAGACCCGCAAAUGGGAAAAAAAAAAUAAAAAAAUAGAAAUAAAAAAGAACCCAUACCGAACCCAAACCAGUGUCUAAUUUGGAAGGUUCAAUUCAACUGAAAGGAAAGGAAAAUUGAAAAAAAAGAAAAAAAAAUUAGGGCUCAUUACUACAAGCAAGACAACACAAAGCCAAGUACUUGGUACUGUCACUUCAACACACUCCCGAGUCUUGCCUUGCCAUCCUCUUUGGUUUUUUCCUCUCUCUCUGAAGCAGAUAGGAACUUCCGAAUUAUAUCCCAUUUUGCUAUAAGUUGCAUUGUCCUGCAGGAGAGUCUGGCUUGGAUCUUUAUACUGCAGCAGAGUCUGGCUUGAAUCUCUUACUAUAUCUGCUUUCUGAUAGGAGAGCCAAUAAGGACAUGUCUUCUGAUACUGCAAAAGAAAAUGCAUCCGUAGUUGAUUCAUCAGCGACUGAAUGGAAAAAUGAUGUGGGAAAUUCAGAUGAUCCAGAGAAUGAGGAUGGCUAUCCCUUUAGGGCACAAGAACCACAGCAUUCCCACAUGGUGGACAAAAGGGGCAGAUUGUAUAAUACAAGAUAUUUCAUCAUUAAGAGUUUGAAUCACCAAAAUAUUCAAUUAUCGAUUGACAAAGGAAUUUGGGCGACUCAACUGAUGAAUGAACCAAUUCUGGAAGAAGCUUUUCAUAAUUCUGGUAUAGUUAUUUUAGUAUUUAGUGUCAACAUGAGUGGUUUCUUCCAAGGGUAUGCCCAAAUGAUGUCUUCUGUUGGAUGGAGGCGAGAUAACGUUUGGAGCAAAGGAAGUGGUAAAGGUAAUCCUUGGGGCCGGAGUUUUAAGGUCAAAUGGCUUUGCUUAAAUCGCUUGCCUUUCCAAAAGACUCUACACCUUAAGAACCCAUUGAAUGACUACAAACCUGUCAAAAUCAGCAGAGACUGCCAGGAAUUACCUCAAGAUAUAGGGGAAGCUCUAUGUGAGCUCCUUGAUGGGAGUAAUGAUGUGGAUGGCUCACUUAAAAGGGAUGAGCUACCUUCAAAGAGGCCUUGCAUAGAACCACCAUAUUCUUUAGGAGAUGAAGAUUAUAAUGUGCCUCCACUGCAUAUGUCUUGGGCUGGUACACCCAUGCCUUAUCAUCCCUUCCUCUAUCGACAUCAAGCUGACGUGAGUAGAUUUCAUUUAACACAUCCGCAUACUUUGGCUACUGAAUACUUUCCUACCACCACGGGAGCAUCAAAAGUUGCAAAAAGUCCUCAUGCUAGUACCUUGACCGAAGAUGAUUUUCUUGAAAUGCGGAUACUUUCCUUGUGGUCAUAUAAAUGUGACUCAUCAGAGAAGCUAGAUUUAUCAGGUUAGUAUUUCGACUAAGAGCCCCUAAGGCCUAAACCAUAACUUCUAACUUCUCUUUGUGAACUAGGAAGAAUUCACCAUAAUGAAUCCCGCAAUGUUUUUAAUGUGCUCCAUGUGCUGUUUAUCCUUAAUUAACUGUAGAGACAAAGAAUACCACACUUUAUUCAAAUCUUGCUGCUGCAUGAUCAGUCUGUAGACAAAGCUCUGUGCUUUCUGCUGUUUUACCACCAAAACAAAUAAUAGGAACAUCCUUCUCUCUCAGAAUUGUCCUUCUGGCUUAUGUCUGAAUCGUUCUUCUUGUUAAUGUUUUACUUCUGAUUUUUGUUGUAGACGUAUGAAGAAUACCUUGAAGCCCAUGGCCGAACCAGCAAACAAUUAUGCCGUUCUGUGACUGCACCAUCUCGGACAAUGCAGGAGUCAACAAGUAGAAAGCAUGCUGAUGAUUCAAGCUCAAGUUUGGUAACAGACCGGCACCACUGUCGCAAGAGGACACAUAACUCAUCCUAGAUUGUUUCCAGCUCCAGCGCUGAGAGAUGCAUGGUUUUUUCUCUUGCUCACUUUCCUCUGGUGGAGCUCCAAUUCACUGAGUGUGGUCAUUGAGUGAAGUAAAUUUGUUCUA